UAUUACACACUGGACAUUUAAGAAGAAUCCCUAGACAACAAGGUGAUGAUGAUUGAGUUUUGACAAACGGGGUGUGAUCUUUUUUGAACAUUGACUGUGAUGACUUAUCUGAUUUAUUCUGUACUAAAUGUGCGGACUGGUUUUUGAGACCCUGGAUUGUAGCUUAGAGGUCAACUCUUCGCUGGAUGCAAAUGUUGAGCCAGUCCCAGAGAUGAUGCACCCUAUACGAUGAGAUCGGACAGCGGUGUGGCCAGCUGCUUCGGAUCCCAUUCAACAGGACUGACACAUCAGAUUACAGGACACUGGCAGAUAAGAAAGAUCCACCACACAUCCAUUAUCCUGCCCAGGAAGAACAUGAGGUACACAUGAGAUGCCGUCUGACCCUCCGAGCCCUCGCAAUGAACCAGUUAGAGGAAGACUGACUUCUUCAAAAUCUGCAAUGAACCUCCUUUUCUCCUGUCCUGUGACCGCUGAUUGUUAUAUCUUCAUGUCCCAUCUCAGUGGUGGUUCCUCCUUGUUUUAGACCACUGCUGUUUUGCCCAUUCUGUUUAUAAUUUUGCAGCCCUUUUAGUUUCUUGUUUUGCCUAUGUAGUUUCUUGUGUUUGUCAUUUUGGUUUGUUAGUUUUGCCCAUUUAGUUUCUUGUUUUGCCUAUGUAGUUUCUUGUGUUUGUCAUUUUGGUUUGUUAGUUUUGCUCUAGUUUAAUAUUUGGUUUAGUUCCACUUUUUUUCCCUAUUUAGUUAUAUUUUGUCUGUAACUUGUGUUAAUUUAGAUUAGAUUUAGUUGUAUAUUCUUGUGGGUUUUGUAAUAUAGUUUGCCCUUUGUCAAGUCAGCUGGGUUACUUUUGUUAAUUUGUUUCUGAUUCUUGUUGUAUUUAGUUUAUAUUUUUAGAGCAGAGUGCUAUCUUGUUGGGAGGCUAGGUACCCGUGGCAAGGUCCCUUCACUUCUCUGCAUAUGAGUAAUUGCACGGAGACACAAUAUAGACUGCACCAUUUUGCUGUGAGUGCUGCACUUAAGGUGGGUAGUGGUAGCACUCCUCAGCGUAGUCUGAGUGGCCUUGUUUAAAGUUAUUUUGGGGAGCUGGAUUUACAUAUUAGGUUCUUCAUUUGAAUUUAUAUUAAGGCCGUUUUAACUAAUUAUUGUGUUGCACACUUGGACACAAUAGAAACCUUCAGGCGUGCAUAAGUUUAAAAUAACUUCUUUACUUUCUUUCUCUGUAAAUAAAGAAACACAAGCACAUCA